CAGUCGCCACGGUAAAACGUAGGGUGCAAGCGUUAAUCGGAAUUACUGGGCGUAAAGCGUGCGUAGGCGGUUCGUUAAGUCUGCUGUGAAAGCCCCGGGCUCAACCUGGGAAUGGCAAUGGAUACUGGCGAGCUAGAGUGUGUCAGAGGAUGGUGGAAUUCCCGGUGUAGCGGUGAAAUGCGUAGAGAUCGGGAGGAACAUCAGUGGCGAAGGCGGCCAUCUGGGACAACACUGACGCUGAGGCACGAAAGCGUGGGGAGCAAACAGGAUUAGAUACCCGGGUAGUCCCUGUCUCUUAUAC
rnacentral:rRNA from 1 species